rnacentral:rRNA from 1 species
GACGAACGCUGGCGGCGUGCCUAAUACAUGCAAGUCGAACGAGAGCGACCGGUGCUUGCACUGGUCAAUCUAGUGGCGAACGGGUGAGUAACACGUGGGUAACCUGCCCAUCAGAGGGGGAUAACAUUCGGAAACGGAUGCUAAAACCGCAUAGGUCUUCGAACCGCAUGGUUUGAAGAGGAAAAGAGGCGCAAGCUUCUGCUGAUGGAUGGACCCGCGGUGCAUUAGCUAGUUGGUGAGGUAACGGCUCACCAAGGCCGUGAUGCAUAGCCGACCUGAGAGGGGGAUCGGCCACAUUGGGACUGAGACACGGCCCAAACUCCUACGGGAGGCAGCAGUAGGGAAUCUUCCGCAAGGGACGCAAGUCUGACGGAGCAACGCCGCGUGAGUGAAGAAGGUUUUGGGAUUGUAAAACUCUGUUGUUAGAGAAGAAUAAGUGCUAGAGUAACUGUUAGCCCCUUGACGGUAUUAAACCAGAAAGCCACGGCUAACUACGU